GAUGAACGCUAGUGGCAGGCUUAACACAUGCAAUCGAGGGGUAUUGGUUUUCGGACCAAGAGACCGGCGCACGGGUGCGUAACGCGUAUGCAAUCUACCUUUUGCAGAGGGAUAGCCCAGAGAAAUUUGGAUUAAUACCUCAUAGUAUAACACAACCGCAUGGUUGAGUUAUUAAAGUCACAACGGCAAAAGAUGAGCAU
rnacentral:rRNA from 1 species